rnacentral:tRNA from 1 species
GAGUGAUUAGCUCAAUUGGUAGAGCACUUAACCUUUAAUUAAGACUGUGGAGUUCGAGUCUCCUAUCACUCA